rnacentral:lncRNA from 1 species
AUGCUUGUCCCUUGGGGUCUAAGGGGGAUGCUUGUCCCUUGGGGUCAGGGAGUCGGGUGGGUGCCAAGGCUUGAAUUCCCUCGGGUGCCCUCAAUCCAGCCCUGUUUCAUGAGUUCUUCAGGGCAGAUUGCUGGUGGGGCGAGAGGUUUGCUCUCUGCCACCCCCUCCAAGCGAUGCUGCAGCUCGGGGCAAUGGCAGCUUUGUGCUGAGCGUGGCAGGAUUGGGCCCCCCCACCCCUUCUCCCCGUUGCUCCGGGAGCCCCCUGGUGCUGGUUCCGGCUCUGACCCAACAAUCCGGGGGUGCCGGCGGUGCCAGGGGCUGCCCCGGGGCAGGGUGCCCAGGAUGAUCGUGUCCCUGUGGCUGGCGUACAUCGCGGCACGGAAAGGCACCGGCGUGUACAUCCCCACCGACAGCGCACCGGUAAGCAGGGGGCGGCGGGGGGGGCUGUGGCCCUGGCUCCUGGGGCACUUUUGGUCCCUGGGUGAGUCCCAGGGCUCACCGGGUUCCCCUCUUCCAGGAUGGCCCCGUGGUGGAGGUGGACGCGUUGGCCACGGUCAGUUGGUGUCUGCGCAAGGCGAAGAAGAGGCAGGAGAAUGCCCGCAGGGGCUCGGGGGAGCCUGGGCUUUACGUCCAGGGCAUUUUUUUGAGGACCGAGCCAGCACUGCGUGUCGGGAUGCAACCCUUGGUGCACCCACAGCCAGCCUGCAGCUUUGCUCCCUUCGCAGGGUGAAGAGCUGCUCUCCAGGCUGUUCCAGAGGGUGCUGGAAAUCUGGGCAGAGCCCCGGGCAGAGCCCCAGGGGGAGCCCCGGGCGGAGCCCCAGGCAGAGCCUGCAGCGGCUCCCCCAGCCUCCCAGCAAGCCGGUGGUCCAAGCCCCCAGCCAGACCCGUGUCCAUCACGUCUUGAGCCUGCUGGAGGGUGAUCUGGUGGAGGACAGGAAGGAGCAAACUGAAAACGGCGUGUCCCAGGUGCUGCUCCAAGGCAUGCCGGACACCGUGAUGGAGGCCGUGAUGGAGGCCGUGACGGACACCGGGAUGGACUCCGUGAUGGACCCCAUGAUGGACCCCGUGAUGGACUCCACGCUGGACACCAAGAGCCAGGUCCAGCUUCCCAGCGAGGACUAGGAGGUCGCCGCUCUCCCCGCUCCCCUUCCCUGGCUGCAUUUGGACCUUUUUGUCACCUCCGCGGUGCUGGCUUGCCCAGAUGUGGCUCCCCCACCAAAAAAAAUAAAAGGCUGCGUGCACCGGCUGGGCUGCGCCUG